AUUGAACGCUGGCGGAAUGCUUUACACAUGCAAGUCGAACGGCAGCACGGGGGCAGCCCUGGUGGCGAGUGGCGAACGGGUGAGUAAUACAUCGGAACGUGCCCGGUCGUGGGGGAUAACGUAGCGAAAGUUACGCUAAUACCGCAUACGAUCUGAGGAUGAAAGCGGGGGACCUUCGGGCCUCGCGCGAUCGGAGCGGCCGAUGUCAGAUUAGGUAGUUGGUGGGGUAAAGGCCUACCAAGCCGACGAUCUGUAGCUGGUCUGAGAGGACGACCAGCCACAUUGGCACUGAGGAACGGCCCAGACUCCGACGGGGGGCAGCAGUGGGGAAUUUUAGACAAUGGGGGAGAGCCUGAUCCAGCCAUUCCGCGUGAAGGCCGAAGGCGUUCGGGUUGUAGACUGCUUUUGUACGGAGCGAAGAGGCUCUGGCUAAUACCUGGGGAUAAUGACGGUACCGGAAGAAUAAGCACCGGCUAACUACGUG
rnacentral:rRNA from 1 species